rfam:Camelus ferus unplaced genomic scaffold scaffold429, whole genome shotgun sequence.
GAGGGUAUAGCUAAGUGGUAGAGUGCGUGCUUAGCAUGCACAAGGUCCUAGGUUCAAUCUCCAGUACCUCCA